AUGUGCCUGGCUCCCUGUAUGCCAUGUGCAGAGAGCGCAUCGGAGAAUCGAUGGUCUCCGCGGAUGGCGUAUGAGGAGCCAAGCAUAU
rnacentral:pre_miRNA from 1 species